AGUUUGAUCAUGGCUCAGAAUGAACGCUGGCGGCGCGCCUAAUACAUGCAAGUCGAGCGAGAAGACGUAGCAAUACGUUUGUAAAGCGGCGAACGGGUGAGGAAUACAUGGGUAACCUACCCUCGAGUGGGGAAUAACUAGCCGAAAGGUUAGCUAAUACCGCGUACGCUUCUUGGACUUCGGUUCAGGGAGGAAAGCGAUACCGUGGGUAUCGCGCUCUUGGAUGGGCUCAUGUCCUAUCAGCUUGUUGGUGAGGUAACGGCUCACCAAGGCUUCGACGGGUAGCUGGUCUGAGAGGACGAUCAGCCACACUGGCACUGCGACACGGGCCAGACUCCUACGGGAGGCAGCAGUAAGGAAUAUUGCGCAAUGGGCGAAAGCCUGACGCAGCGACGCCGCGUGGGGGAUGAAGGUCUUCGGAUUGUAAACCCCUUUCGGGAGGGAAGAUGGAAUGGGGUAACCCAUUCGGACGGUACCUCCAGAAGCAGCCACGGCUAACUUCGUGCCAGCAGCCGCGGUAAUACGAAGGUGGCAAGCGUUAUUCGGAUUUACUGGGCGUACAGGGAGCGUAGGCGGUUCGGUAAGCCCUCUGUGAAAUCUCCAGGCUUAACCUGGAAAAGUCGGGGGGGACUGCUGGGCUAGAGGACGGGAGAGGAGCGCGGAAUUCCCGGUGUAGCGGUGAAAUGCGUAGAGAUCGGGAGG
rnacentral:rRNA from 1 species